rnacentral:ncRNA from 2 species
CCAAAGCUUUAGGGGUGUUCUGUGAAGUAGUUAUUUUAUUUUGCAGGACUGAGACAAUACCCUUUGAACCUGAUGUAGUUUAUACUACCGGAGGGAAAAGUGAACAAAAUACU